rnacentral:rRNA from 1 species
GAUGAACGCUGGCGGCGUGCUUAACACAUGCAAGUCGAACGAAGCAAUUAGAGUGCUUGCACUCGGAUUGACUGAGUGGCGGACGGGUGAGUAACGCGUGGGUAACCUGCCUCACACAGGGGGAUAACAGUUGGAAACGGCUGCUAAUACCGCAUAAGCGCACAGUACCGCAUGGUACAGUGUGAAAAACUCCGGUGGUGUGAGAUGGACCCGCGUCUGAUUAGCUAGUUGGCAGGGUAACGGCCUACCAAGGCGACGAUCAGUAGCCGGCCUGAGAGGGUGAACGGCCACAUUGGGACUGAGACACGGCCCAAACUCCUACGGGAGGCAGCAGUGGGGGAAUAUUGCACAAUGGGGGAACCCUGAUGCAGCGACGCCGCGUGAAGGAUGAAGGUCUUCGGAUCGUAAACUUUUGUCUUCAGGGACGAUAAUGACGGUACCUGAGGAGGAAGCCACGGCUAACUACGGUG